GUCAGCGUGGCCGAGUGGUUAUGGCGUGUGACUCAAGCGAAAGCUUGUCUUCCUCGGAAGACGCACUCUCAAGAGGUUUCUCAUAGGGCAACCUGCGUGGGUUCGAAUCCCACCGCUGACA